CACGGCACAAUCCUGGCUGCUCUCCCGUUGAGAAGUCAGCUGGAAUAAAAGCUGCCAAUGCUCUCUGGGACAGCCAGGUCUCUAAGGAAAGCAGGUGGGAGCUGGUGCAAAGGGGCUGUAACAUGCAGCUGCAGACUUCAGUGCAGAAGUGUGGUGGCUGCUGUCAGGGAGUUCUUCUUGUGCCUGCUAUUGCUCUGACACAGGUGCAGCACCUUCUGUUUGGACUUGUUGAAGCCAGGCACCCCCUGGCACCAAACCUCCCGCUGGGAGCAGCUGCAGAGCUGCAGGCCUGCGGCUGGGCAGCACGCGCUGUCAGGGGGAGCGCAG